UGGGGAAUAUUGCACAAUGGGGGAAACCCUGAUGCAGCGACGCCGCGUGAACGAAGAAGGUAUUCGUAUCGUAAAGUUCUGUCCUAUGGGAAGAUAAUGACAGUACCAUAGAAGAAAGCUCCGGCUAACUACGUGCCAGCAGCCGCGGUAAUACGUAUGGAGCGAGCGUUGUCCGGAAUUAUUGGGCGUAAAGGGUACGCAGGCGGUUUAAUAAGUCGAAUGUUAAAGAUCGGGGCUCAACCCCGCAAAGCAUUGGAAACUGAUAAACUUGAGUAGUGGAGAGGAAAGUGGAAUUCCUAGUGUAGUGGUGAAAUACGUAGAUAUUAGGAGGAAUACCAGUAGCGAAGGCGACUUUCUGGACACAAACUGACGCUGAGGUACGAAAGCGUGGGGAGCAAACAGG
rnacentral:rRNA from 1 species